UCCCAGCUUCCGUGGUAGUGCUUCCACUUCCGCUGCUACUUCCUGAUUCUGAUCUUAUAACAGCUGUUGGAUUGGAUGAUGCACGGGAUGUUGACCGGCCAUGAGUGUGCUGCAUGUAUGCAUGGUAUAUUCCACGCUGCAAGAAGGCACGUCGGUGCUGCAACCAGGAAUCAUAAGAUUCUGAGAGAAGCGAGUUCACCAUCAUGAAUUGGAAUGUUUCUUCUGUACCAAUGGAAGGUUGCAUCCCAGGAGUGGAGGGUUUGGAAUCAGAUGAGGAAGAGGUCAAAUAUGUUGUUAUGGUCUUGGCCAUUGCCCGCUGGGUGAUGUUUCCCUGAUCAAAAAGGUGGCGAGCCAUCUGAAUCAUGAAAAGGAGAAAGCGGGAGUUGCUUUCUCUUCCACCGCCUCUGCUCUCCAAGCUGAAUGAUGCACCUGUGGCAAAUCGAGCCAGCAUCUGUAUAAAAUACAAAUCGAAAGAUUAUCAGGAGGGAUCUAGUACAGUUUUGGGAAUUUAUAUAACUGCAUCUACUCUAAAUACAAAAUAAAAUAGCCCUUAGCAACAAAGCAGCCAACCCUAUUACUACAUGGAGCAACAUAUAUUUGUGCCUAGUUGGAAGGAUGUUUUCCCAUGCGUUUUAUACUCUGUAGUGCAAGACCCAUGGCAAGUAAAUAACAUCACAUUAUGAUCUAAUGAAUCUGAACCAAAUAUUUGAAGAUUUUCUCUGACCUUCAAAACAUUCCCACAAUCCAAAAUUAUAUGAUAAAUCAAUAGCUCCAAAAAAUUUGAUCAUAAAUUUUCUAUGAUGUUGUAACUUUAGAUGGCACUGAUCUUUAUUUGUCAAGGCACUAGUAUGCAUUUCUCAUGGAGAUCCAGUACCCAAAUUCAGAACUUCUCUAUCAUGCAAAGCAGCUUUUCCAUAUAACUUUCAAUUUAGUAAACACAAUGCUGAGCAUAUAAAACAAAAUUAAGAAAGAAAAAAAGGGAAAAUGUAAAACAAAAUCUGCAUUGUGUGUUUGAGCAUUAAUAGUCUGAGAUUGUAAUUGUUGGUUGCUUCUUUUUUCUUCUUAGAUGUAUACUUCCUGUGUACUACUAUGUGCCUCUUAUUUAUCGACACUUUUAACAUAUUAUUAUUUUCUAAUCAUAAAAAAAAUGAAAAAGAAAAAGGGAAAAUGAAGGUUUUGUACCAGAACAAUGUCAUAAGUCAGCAAUCGGAGUCGGGGCCCAUCAGCACGCCCAAGAGCAUUAAGGUUGUCCCAGUACUGAUCAACAUAGCGGAUGUACUGCGUUAUUGGGACAGAUGGACCUCUCACAGGGAAUAGGGAAUUGCAAUAACUCUCAUUGUUUCUGAGGGCAGCCCCCUCCCACUCUUUCUUUGGAUUCUUCAGAGCUGCAUCUGCCCUUUUAGCCUCCUGAUGACACUGGAAAUGUAUGAUGUUAAAAAAACUAACAGUUGUGUAAACAUACUCAGCCCGGGCACUUCCUGAAGUGACACCCAGGUUCACACGCUUGCUAUAAGAGUAGACACCCAACAUGUCAGUAGGCCUCAAGCUAUAACCCUCUCUGCACACCAUGCAAGCCAACCCAUCUUCCUCUUCCUCCACAUCUUCCAAACCUUCAAGAAGUGGACGAGUGACAACAAUGCGCUCACCACCAUCUGAAGCUAGUUCCUGUCGCAUUCCAAGUCCCUGUCCCAAUUGUCCAAAAAAUGACUCAGAUUCAUAAGCAAGGAAUGUAUAAUUUUUUCUUUCUUUUGUUAGCUGCUGAAUCAAUUCGUGUCUCAGAGCUAGUAAUUGUGUGUGAAACAAACAGUGAAGGCAUAGUGAUUUUCAAUUCAAGUGAAUCUGAACAUCCCACAUCCCAACUCAAUCCCUUGCCACUUGAACCAGGCCCCAAAGGCUUUAAUUAAAUCCAUUUUAUGAAGUUAGACCUGCCACAGAUCUAAAUUACACAUCAUGUAUGUAUACAUGAACAAGCAGAUAUGUGUUUGCACCAAAGAGCUUAGUGGAAACUACCUGAAGCAACUCCUCUCUUCUUCUUAGAGCUCGACGCCUCAUCUCAUCCCUGGUGGCAUGCCUCAACUUGCAAACCUUCUCCUCUAGGAAUCCAUCCCCCUUCCCUUCUUUAUCAGACAGAGUGUCUAACAAGUUUUCAGCCCUAGCUCCAAUCUCAUUUUCUCCAGUGACUCCCUCCAAAGCAUGGAGCAGUGAUAAGAUGCCUCCCUCAUCAAUACACCUUUGAGUGGCCAAAUGUCCCAUUGAUAAUCCCCUCAGCAUAGACAAGAUAAGUGGGACUGAUGGCAGUUUUAAACCUGAUGCCCAUUCUGCACUAGAUUUAAAGCCAGCCUGCCCAGCAACUGCAAAACUAUCUGUCAGAUGUCUAACUGCAACACCAGUAAUUCCCUUCUCCAAGAUAAUGUCCUUCAAUCUUUCUCCACAAGAACUUGUCUUGAGUGACUCUGAAACCCUGACAAAAUUCUCCAAUGCAAACUUUUGUUUGGCUGCCUGCCGAGCAAUGUCCUCAUCCUUUGGGUUGUCCUGUUGCUGUUUCUGCAGCCUGUCAAAUUCACCCCAGUCUUGUAAGUAGGGCUCAAAAUGGUGGAUGAGUGCUUCCAUUGCCGCAGGUUCACCGUAUGUCAAGUAAGGCAAAAUUCUUGCAACCAUCUCAGUGUUCCUCUGCUGUUUGUUUGACUUUUUAAGGCCUGAAGAAUGGCACAAUCUUUCCAGGAACAUGAGGACUAUUUUCUUCGCCUGGUCACCAGCACCAGCCACUUCGCUACUAACAGUAAGAGCAUUCUGUGUAAUGCUAAUAUUAUCACUUUCAUUUGCUUCCAAUGUCAGGCUCUCCACAAUCAAAAGAAUCCCUUCAGCCGGCUCCAUGGCAUCCACAGAGAAGGCACACCUUGCCGUUUCAAGUAGUACACCUAAAGCUCCUAGUCUUAACAAGGCACGUCGAUUCUCUCUUAUCUUGCAGCAGUGCAUGAGGAGAUUAAGCACUGCAACUAACUGCUCUUGAUUGGACUUCAA
rnacentral:lncRNA from 1 species